AUUGAACGCUGGCGGCAUGCUUUACACAUGCAAGUCGAACGGCAGCGCGGGCUUCGGCCUGGCGGCGAGUGGCGAACGGGUGAGUAAUACAUCGGAACGUGCCCAGUAGUGGGGGAUAGCUCGGCGAAAGCCGGAUUAAUACCGCAUACGACCUGAGGGUGAAAGCGGGGGAUCUUCGGACCUCGCGCUAUUGGAGCGGCCGAUGGCAGAUUAGCUAGUUGGUGGGGUAAAGGCCUACCAAGGCGACGAUCUGUAGCUGGUCUGAGAGGACGACCAGCCACACUGGGACUGAGACACGGCCCAGACUCCUAUGGGAGGCAGCAGUGGGGAAUUUUGGACAAUGGGCGAAAGCCUGAUCCAGCAAUGCCGCGUGUGUGAUGAAGGCCUUCGGGUUGUAAAGCACUUUUGGCGGGAACGAAAAGGACUGUGCCAAUACCACGGUUCGAUGACGGUACCCGCAGAAUAAGCACCGGCUAACUACGU
rnacentral:rRNA from 1 species